UGGCCGAGGGCGGCUGCCGCUGCACGCCGGCGAGCCGGCCACCAGGACGCGCCGGCGACGACGCAGGCCAUGGAGGGCUUUGGCUGCCGUCGUCCUCCACGCGCAGCGCGUGCCUCGGGGAGCCCUCCUUCCCGGCUUCCUCUACGAGGCCAAUCUGCCACAGCACUACUCCGACGUGAUGCGUCCCGGCGGCAGUCUCCUCCCACGACCUCGCCGGGAACAAGUCCGCCCCCGUGUGGCCGACCCGAGCCCACAAGAAUCGACACUGCUAUGUGGUGGAGGUAGGGCGGGUCAAGAUCUUUGCGCUGGAGGAUGGGAAGACGAUGCACGCGUUCUACUUCUACAUACUUACCCUGUUGUGCCUCAAGUUUGAGUGCUCGAGUGGCUGUGAGAUACGGGGAAACUUGAAGAAGAUGUUGGCCAAGGCUGAAUCCGAACUCAGCAACUGUGUAUUAUUUGGCGUUAUGGCGGUGCUAUAUACAACAGUGUCCACCUCAAGUGGUCGCUGUUUUCGUGACGACAGUGUUCUUCUUUGGCUACAACCAUACUGGCUUCAUCAAACACACCAUGCAGAUCAUCUGCCAGGAAACUUGAAGAAGCUGUUGGCCAAGGCUGAAUCCGAACUCAGCAACCGUGUAUGUUCUGGCGUUAUGAUGGUGCUGUAUACAACAGUGUCGGCCUCAAGUAUUUGCUGUUGUGGUGACGACAGUGUUCUUCUUUGGUUACAACCAUACUUGCAUCAUCAAACACACCAUGCAGAUCAUCUGCCUGGGAUGGUGAGUCGCCGGCGAGGACGACAUGGCCAGGGCCAUGUGCUGUGUCUAAUCUUUGUCUGAUUUAGUCGGGCAUCCAUCUCUGGGCUGUUGCGCGGCUGCUUGUUUGUCAUCCGGUGAGACCUCUCAUCAUUAAACACACCAUGCAGAUCAUCCGCCCUGCAGGGGAAGGUGAGUCGCCAGCGAGGACGACAUGUCCAGGGUAUGGUGCUGUGGCUCAUCUUUGUCUGGUUCAGUCUGGCGUCCAUGUGGCGGAUGUUGUGCUGCUGCUGCUGCUUGUUUGGUGUAUUUGAAAUUAUGUUUCUGAAUGGUUGUAUUAUAGUUGAAAUGCUGAGAAAGCUUGCCACAAAGCUUUGUAUGUGCUGUGCGUGCUGUCAGUUGGCGGUAUCCUUU